rnacentral:rRNA from 1 species
AUGAAUGACUACUUCUACUACGACCGUCCCAGGAACGUCUACUUCCUCUUCAUUGCACCGAACCCGAACCGUCCUGUUUGCACGCUUCGAAGGUAUAACCGCCGAGACGAUGACCCGUGGACGAAUGUUUGUGAGGAUUCGUUCGACUACGUUGGUUUGUCUUCGUCAUGGACUCGUUCUUCUUCCUUGUGA